GAUGAACGCUGGCGGCGUGCCUAAUACAUGCAAGUCGAGCGAACAGACGAGGAGCUUGCUCCUCUGACGUUAGCGGCGGACGGGUGAGUAACACGUGGAUAACCUACCUAUAAGACUGGGAUAACUUCGGGAAACCGGAGCUAAUACCGGAUAAUAUAUUGAACCGCAUGGUUCAAUAGUGAAAGACGGUUUUGCUGUCACUUAUAGAUGGAUCCGCGCCGCAUUAGCUAGUUGGUAAGGUAACGGCUUACCAAGGCAACGAUGCGUAGCCGACCUGAGAGGGUGAUCGGCCACACUGGAACUGAGACACGGUCCAGCCUCCUACGGGAGGAAGCAGUAGGGAAUCUUCCGCAAUGGGCGGAAGCCUGACGGAGCAACGCCGCGUGAGUGAUGAAGGUCUUCGGAUCGUAAAACUCUGUUAUUAGGGAAGAACAAAUGUGUAAGUAACUAUGCACGUCUUGACGGUACCUAAUCAGAAAGCCACGGCUAACUACGUG
rnacentral:rRNA from 1 species